rnacentral:rRNA from 1 species
UACAGAGGGGGCAAGCGUUGUUCGGAAUUACUGGGCGUAAAGGGCGCGUAGGCGGCCGCCUAAGUCAGACGUGAAAUCCCUCGGCUCAACCGGGGAACUGCGUCUGAUACCGGGUGGCUUGAAUCCGGGAGAGGGAUGCGGAAUUCCAGGUGUAGCGGUGAAAUGCGUAGAUAUCUGGAGGAACACCGGUGGCGAAGGCGGCAUCCUGGACCGGCAUUGACGCUGAGGCGCGAAAGCCAGGGGAGCAAACGGG